GUCCGGUCUGAAUCACCGUGGUCUGAUUGAAGGGAGCGCGAGCAGAUAGAACACCUGAUCUUCAGGAAGGUGUCAGACGUGAAGAGGGAGCGGGAGCUGGCCGAGCGGCGCAAGAACGAACCGCCGCCCGACAUCAGCCAGGACCACCUGGUCAGGAAGCUGUUCUCUCGCUUCAAAAAGUCCAGUGACAGUGGUCCGGGCGGCAGGGACGUAGAGGCCGGUAAGACUGAGGCCGACAAUGGCGGCGGCGGCGGCGGCGCCACCGUCGCCACCGCUAACAGUG